rnacentral:rRNA from 1 species
GAUGAACGCUGGCGGCGUGCUUAACACAUGCAAGUCGAACGGUAACAGGUCUUCGGAUGCUGACGAGUGGCGAACGGGUGAGUAAUACAUCGGAACGUGCCCGAUCGUGGGGGAUAACGGAGCGAAAGCUUUGCUAAUACCGCAUACGAUCUACGGAUGAAAGCAGGGGACCGCAAGGCCUUGCGCGGACGGAGCGGCCGAUGGCAGAUUAGGUAGUUGGUGGGAUAAAAGCUUACCAAGCCGACGAUCUGUAGCUGGUCUGAGAGGACGACCAGCCACACUGGGACUGAGACACGGCCCAGACUCCUACGGGAGGCAGCAGUGGGGAAUUUUGGACAAUGGGCGAAAGCCUGAUCCAGCCAUGCCGCGUGCAGGAUGAAGGCCUUCGGGUUGUAAACUGCUUUUGUACGGAACGAAAAGACUCUUUCUAAUAAAGAGGGUCCAUGACGGUACCGUAAGAAUAAGCACCGGCUAACUACGUGCCAGCCGCCGCAGUAAGAC